CCAGAUAGAGACCUCCCCUACUGGUGUCAGUGAUGUGAUGUGGGGGAAAAAGCAUGAGCCUCGGGAGCCUCAGAUCAGGGUUCAAAUCCGAGCCCUGCCCCUUUGGGCAAGUAUAACUUCUCUGAGCCUUCUCCUGUGUAAACCAAAAAUAAUAGAACUUUCUUACAAGGUGGUUGCAGGGAUUAAAGGGUGGUGUGAAAUAAGGUUUCAGCAUGGGUUACUCCAGCACGGGACAGGUGUGCAGGCGGCAUCGAUUGGGGAUUGGAUAACAUCCGAUCGGUAACAUGGGGCCCCAAGGUGUGGGAGACCCCCCUUUCACUCCUAGGGAGCUGCCAGUCCACCGUGGUAAAAUGGCAUCAAAAAGUCACUAUGGUGAAGGGCAGAUUUGGUCCCUAUCAGUGGGGGAUUGGAGUUUGGGGGUGUUAGCCAGAGAAGUCUUCUUGGAGGAAAUCACUUUGAACUGGGUCUCAAGGUCACCAUUAUCAUGGACCUGCUAUUUCCUGGGUGCCAGGCAGCGUGAAGGGCUGCAGGGAAGGAGGUGGGGCAUGGGCUGCCUGACUUGCUGGGGAGACAGACAGGGUGGCCGUCUGCAGGGGCUCGAGCAGGGAACUCGUGCUGGCGGGCAGCCCAGGGGCCCGGGGGAAGGCGGAGGAGCCUCAGGGAGCGCAUUGGCAUUGGAAAAGCAGGUCAGAUGUGUGGGCAGGGGUGCCAGCAGGACCGAGAGCACUGGGGGUAGGUGUAGGGGAAGAAAGCCUGACGGGGGCUCUGCUCGUUGUGAAUGGGGGACACAGGCUUGGAGCUGUGGGAGGGCAGUUCAGAAUGACGUGGCUGGGUGUAGUGGCCGAGAGGAAGGGGACAUCCUGGUUUGGGGCUAGGAGCAAAA